AUUCCCUAAGUAGCGGCGAGCGAAAGGGGAAGAGCCCAAACCAGGAACUUGUUCCUGGGGUUGCGGAUAGAUCAUAACGCUUUGAUUUCUUUAGUUGAAGAGAACUGGAAAGUUCCGUCGUAGAAGGUAAUAACCCUGUAGGCGAAAAGGAAAGAAAAGUAGAUCUACUCCAGAGUACCACGAGACACGUGAAACCUUGUGGGAAGCUGGGAGGACCAUCUCCCAAGGCUAAAUACUACCUAGUGACCGAUAGUGAAGCAGUACCGUGAGGGAAAGGUGAAAAGAACCCCGGAAGGGGAGUGAAAUAGAAUCUGAAACCGUGUGCCUACAAUCGGUCGGAGCACAUUAAAGUGUGACGGCGUACUUUUUGUAGAACGGGCCAGCGAGUUACGAUAUAUAGCGAGGUUAAGCACUUAUGGUGGGGAGCCGAAGGGAAACCGAGUCUGAAUAGGGCAACUAGUUGUAUAUUGUAGACCCGAAACCGGGUGACCUAUCCAUGGCCAGGAUGAAGCGGAAGUAAAAUUCCGUGGAGGUCCGAACCACGUUGGUGUUGAAAAACCAUGGGAUGAGCUGUGGAUAGCGGAGAAAUUCCAAUCGAACUCGGAGAUAGCUGGUUCUCCUCGAAAUAGCUUUAG
rnacentral:rRNA from 1 species